UACGUAGGGUGCAAGCGUUGUCCGGAAUUAUUGGGCGUAAAGAGCUCGUAGGCGGUCUGUCGCGUCUGCUGUGAAAACUCGGGGCUUAACCCCGGGCCUGCAGUGGGUACGGGCAGACUAGAGUGCGGUAGGGGAGACUGGAAUUCCUGGUGUAGCGGUGAAAUGCGCAGAUAUCAGGAGGAACACCGGUGGCGAAGGCGGGUCUCUGGGCAUUACCUGACGCUGAGGAGCGAAAGCGUGGGGAGCGAACAGG
rnacentral:rRNA from 1 species